UACGUAGGGGGCAAGCGUUGUCCGGAAUCAUUGGGCGUAAAGCGCGUGUAGGCGGCACGGCAAGUCAGGAGUGAAAGCCCGGGGCUCAACCCCGGAAUGUCUUUUGAAACUGCCGAGCUAGAGUGCGGAAGAGGCAACUGGAAUUCCCAGUGUAGCGGUGAAAUGCGUAGAUAUUGGGAAGAACACCUGAGGCGAAGGCGGGUUGCUGGGCCGACACUGACGCUGAGGCGCGAAAGCCAGGGGAGCGAACGGG
rnacentral:rRNA from 1 species